UUUAUUUUUUUUUAAGAGAUGGGGCUUCACAUGUUGCCCAGGCUGGUUUUGAACUCCUGGGCUCAAGUGAUCCAAUACCACCUCAAGAGGUGGUGAGACCCAGUGGUCUAGACAAGCAGCCACAUAGCAAUAUGUUUUUCUCCGUGAUUAAUAUCCAUGUUCGUUUGUUACAAAAUGACAGGCAUGUACAUUUUCUUCUUCAGAGAGGGAGAUUCCCACUUAUCCAUUAAUUACUCAUUUGGUAUCCAUUCCAAACUAUUAAACUUUGCAAAAGCAUGAGGAAAGAAACUUAAGUCAAUGUUUUUAUCAUGUGUUGGUGCCAGCCUCCCAGAGUGGUGCUAAAUUUAUGAAAUUGCAACAAAACAAAAACUCAAACAACCCAACAACAAAAAGCUAUUUAGUGAACACUGUGACUAACAAGCUUAUUAGAAUUGCCUAUCAAAGCCAUGUGUGGAUUUUGUAGGAGGAAAGAUUUUCUUCCCUCCUAGCCAUUUUUCAAAAUAAAAGUAAAAUAUUACCUUUAUGUAUGUGGUAGAUAGAAUUUCAUAGGCUUCAGUUUCAACAUCUCAAAAAUGUUGCUUUUGCUUUCCAUAUCUCAGGAGUCACUUUUAUUUAUUUUGUAGAGCUAGGGUCUCACUCUGUUGCCCAAGCUGGAGUUGCAGUGAUGUGAUCAUAGCUCACUGCAGGCUUGAAUUAUCUCAGCCUCCUGAGUAGCUGGGACUACAGGCACAUACCACCACUCCUGGCUAAUUUUUAAAUUCUUUGUAGACAUAGGAUAUUGCUGUGUUGCUUUGGCUGGCCUUGAACUCUUGGCUUCAAGGGAUCCUUCCAUCUUGGCCUCUCAAAGUGCUGGGAUUGCAGGUAUGAGCCACCAUACCUGCCCAGAAAUCUCUAUUUUAAACCCCAAUUCCACCUGAUAGUAAAAAAAAUGUCAUCAUGGUUUAUUUUGGGUAGACUCGAUCAUUUCAAGAUUCUUGCUCCUCCUUUUCCUGUGAGUAAAACCUGAAGCUCUGACAGGAGCCUGCAAGCCCUGCUGGGAUCUGUCCUCAGUCCCUGUCUGACUCAUCUCCUACUGUCUUGCUCUCACUCCUUCUCCCUGCCCUUCUCUCUGCUCCAGCCAUACCAGGUCCCUUAUUGUUCCUUGUUGAUAUUCACUCAGGAUGGCUGGCAAAAUAUUAGGGAAAUACUAGAGAAAGUUAUAGAUUAUAGUCUCAAACCUUUUGGAAGUCUGAAAGGUUUUAUUGGGCCAGGCCGAAGGUGGCUGGUCCAUUAUGUUAGGGAAAAGAUAGGGAUGAUAAAAGGCUUUCCCAGUUUAAAUCUGUUUACCCCACAUUACUUUGUCUCUAAUUUGUUUGCUUAUGUAAACUUUGUGCUGGAUGGCCCUCUCACGGGGAGGUCAAGGGAAUUACCCAUUAAUAGUGUUUAUUCUGGACCCCUGAACCUAAAGCUUUUACCAUUCAUAAAAGCUCUUUUAACCAUGUUAAUUACCCACAAGCGUGUUAACUUAGAACCUCUGUUGUGAAAUUUAUACUGAAUAAAUGUGAGUAUGUGGAGGGAGUCUUGGUCAAUUGGCUGCAGUUGCCCCCUGAAAGCAGCCAACAACCAUCCCUAGCCCACUUGAAUCACUGAAAUAGGUGUGAGAGUGCAUUUAUUCAUCCGUCAUUGCGUCAGGGUCUGCAGGACAGACCUCCGCAGGUGGUGAUCGACGUCUUAUUCCUGGAAGACACCAGGCAUGCUAUGUCUUAGGGGAGAAUGAUUUCACCAAGCAGUUCCCCCCCCACCCAGUAACAUGCGUUUGUCCUGAUUGCUCUUUUCACCUGCUAUGCUGUUCCACAGAUAACCACAGGCAAACUCCGUCAACUCCUUCCAGUCUAUUCAAAUGUCCUAGGAAAAGGAGAAACAGGGCCGCCUGUCGUUUCUGUGGUUUUAUUUUGCCAGUUUAAUUUCUAAUUGACUGUGGAAGCAUCAAGAGAGCUAUAGCUCAAGGCAGUUGAAUGGCCCAGAACUUCACAGGAAUCCCAGGAUCUUGGGUGCCAUGGGUCACGCCUGUAAUUCCAGCACUUUGGGAGCCCGAGGCAGGUGGAUCAUUUGAGAUCAGGAGUUCGAGACCAACUUGGCUGACAUG